GCGGGGGCGUGGGUGCCCUGCCCUCCAAACCACCCACGGCCCAAUCCAAUCGCUUGCACGCCGCAACCCUUCCUCCCUCCUCGAUCUCUCUCCCUCAGCCACCACGAACCCUAGCCCCCUUUCCUACCAUCCUGUGGUCGCUGCCCUCUGCUCCAUCUGACCUCCCUCAUCAACCGCCGCCUCUGUGGCUCCUCCGUCCGUCGACUCUGUCUCCCCAAUUCAUCCUCCGUCCCUUUCUGCUCGAGGUGCUCAUCGGCUCAGGUCGUGAGGAAGCCGCGUGACGAGGAGCCCAGGUCGUGAAGCCGCGUGAGGAGGAGAGACCUUGCCCGAGAAGCUGUGGGAGGAGGGCCUCAACCAGAGAGGAGCGGCUGCCAGCCAUGUAGUCGGCUCGGCUCGAUGCCGGACGCGGCAGACCCUAGCGCCAUCCUUCAGGAGUCUUCACGACCUCCAGGUGCGCAUCUUUCAGGAUUUAAUAAUGAGUUAUCUUGGCUUCAUUGGACAAAUGAUCUACCUGGAGCAAUGAUACAGGUUCUACUGCAACAGUACAACAUACAAAGUGAUGGAGGAGAGGUGUUCAGAGAAAGUUUUAUACAUGUGCCAGGUUCUGAAGCAUGAGGAUCCGGUGCGACAGGAAGCAACUCUGCAUACGGUUCCUGUAGAUGAACUUAAGGAGAAGGCGCUUAUUUCACUGGCCAAGGAAACAUGUAAAAAAGGUGGGAUCUUUCCGUCGGCUUUCGCAGCUGGCUAUAUGCAUCAUAGAGCAUCUAAUCUGCAUCAACUUUAGACAUGGAGAGUUCUACUCCAAUUUCUUUGUGUUGUCGGCCUUGGUGAUUGUUCUGGAGCUCUAAUUGGCUGAUGGACUUUUAAAUGUUUCCCUGCAAUUUUCAUUGCUUUGCCUGCAAGUGUUUUGUCUGUGAGCUUGCUUGUAUACUAAAUGUUAUCUAGGCUCAUGUGUAUAAAAUAAGGGUAUCGAUAUGCAAAUAAAUCUUGACACAGUGGAUUUGGUUCUUUUACAUUUCUGAAGUACCUUGUGCAAAUAAUGAAUCAUCAUCUCCCGUGUUUUUCUCUUGAAAAUGGAGGUGUCAUGGUUUUCUUUUUGUACCUCUUGCAGUUGGAUGGUUUGAUGAUUAGAACAUAAUGAAUUAUGGUUGUUCUUAUAAACUCUCUUUAAUGUGACCUCUAUGGAACUUUGGAUGAUCAUCGAGGGCAAUCUUGGAUAGUUUCAGGAGAAAUAAUCAGUGUGGGAUUGAGCCAUAGCUUUUGGAGGGUUGAUGGUUUAUGAAGUACUCCCUCCGUCCCAAAAUAAGUGUCUCAACUUUAGUACAACUUAUUUUGGGACGGAGGGAGUAUUAUAUGAUAGAUAGUGAUGGUAAAAUAAACAUAUUUAUAACAAAGCCUUCUAUUGGAAAGCAAUUGAAUUCAUGACAAUUCAGAAGUAAGAAUUUAACAUUUUCUUGAUUGUCUGAUUUCAUAGCCUUCAUGUUCCUGGAUAUCAUUUUUGUUAACUCUCUGCUGAUGGCACCUUGAAGCUUGAGUAUUUUCAUACCUUGAUGAAUACAUUGCUCUACAUAAUUGGUUGAUUAAAGAGGUUAACUCUUUUUUGUAGCAGUUUUUCAAUUGAUCUGAUGCGAUGACCAAAACAUGUUUACUUAAACUUGGUAUAUUAGCUCAAGCACCUGAUCAGUAAAAUGGAGUUCUAUUGGUUCUAGCUAUUGUUCCAAAUCAUUCAGAAAGAAAAACUGAUAUGCUAAAUAAACUGUCUGCUUUACUAACUUUAUUUUUUAGUCUUGCUUCCAUUCAUGUAUUUAUAGUACCGUGGGUAUCUACAACAACGAUAGUACAAAUGAUUUGUAGAAGAACACAUGUUCACUAUAAAUAAAUAAAUAUGGCAUGAAUUUAAUUGGUGUUAACUUGAACUUAGGUGGUGAGAUUGUGCGUCCACUCCCACCCAAGUGAGCUAGGUGUAAUUUUGACUUUAUUCCAGUCUCAUGAAACACAUCAUGGGUGUAUAUGAACAUUAUCUCAAAAUACUCAAGCUUGGCAACAAAAACUUAAUUGUGUGCGUGAAAAUUUUUACUUUCUGUUUGUCGAAUUGAGAAGUUCUUGCCGGUUAUCUGUGAUCUUUGGCGUGGUGCUGCAACCAUUUUAACAGACUGAAACUAUUGCCUUAUUUUUUAUUCUACAUUUCCCUUAAAGAUUUCUGGUGGAGCCGCAUUCGUGCAUUAGUGAAAAAAUUAGAGGUUUAUUCUAUUGGACAUCGUCAGAAUGGUCAAGCAUGUUUUACUAUAAUUUUGCAGGGUUCCUGCUCCUUCUAUGUAUUUUUGAUUUAUUUGUGUUGACUGUGCUCAAUGGUGCUUGCAGAUCCAUGGACAUCGUCAAAAUGGUCACUUUCUUGCAGUAUAUUAUUUUCAGAUCUCAUGUUUCUCAAGGUGACAAAAGAGAGAUGGCAAAACUAUUGUAGCACAACCAUACAGAAAGCUUUGGCUCCUUGCUUUUCUUAAGUAGUUUUAUAAGGGCAUCGAACCAUUUGGUGCUACAGUUAUUGUAUAGUAAACCGGCAUAAUAUGAGAGAUUAACAGUCAGAUUUUACAUGUUUAGUAAAGUAGGCAACUGGCACAUGUUUGUAUAGCAAUUCUGAACCCCUCAUAUUGAAUGAUUCAUCUACAGAAGCACUCAGUUUGUCUACAAUUUUUUGUACGAGUUUAGAUUACUCUGAGAACAGCCGGUACCAUACCAUCACGGCUGCUUGCAAAAUUAGUAAGAGGCUAAAUUUCUGAGUUGUCUUAGUUAUGUAGCACACGAAUUGAGUGUGACUUAGGAAUUAAUAUGCGAGUUGGCUUAGUUAUGAAAUCAAAAAGUACCUCUGUAGAUGCAGGUAAUUGAGCAGUGGAUGGGUGACGGGGAUAGGUUUCAUAAAACCGAUUAUUAUGAACUUGUUCAUUGUAUCAUAUAAACAUUACACCACCAGAAUUCAGUAGCGUGUUAACAUUCAGCUGACUGCUCCCAUUUUUAGCUCGUUUUGUAGGUAUGCUUUAGGAAAAUUUUGGUCUGCGAAGAUACUGUUUCAGCAAAGGGCAAAGGGAAAAUCAUCAAGUUCGAUGAUCCAGUUUUUGUUCCAUAGGAUUCCAUUUUUCAAAUGAAUCUCCUACCUGAAAAAGGGCAUGGUAGUGGAUAUUGUAUCUGUUUUAUGUGCAUCAGAAGAGACUACUGGCUGGUUGAUUUUGUGCACAUAUUCUGUAAAUUCAACUUACCAAUAAAGCUUUGACAGAACAAGAUUCUUGAUGUUGCUUAUGGUGCCUCUUUGGGCUUCUUCUUCAAUGGUCCCACGCCGGCCCAAAUAAUAGAUGUCUUGCUUAUUUAUUGGUCAUAUUGCCAGCACAUUCCAAGCGGAAUGGAGUGCCCAGUUUUGUCCAGAAAGCUGAGGCCUUCUGGUGGUUUAGCAUGAUAUUUCCUUAGUUGUCUUUUUGACUAGAAGAAGGAAGUGUUGCUUGACUGGAAUGAGAUCACAAAGGAAUCUGAGACGAGCUUUGCUACAUAAAGUAGUCUGAUGUGAUCUCCAUAUUCAUACAUAAUAUAUCGAUGUUAUGUGCACAUUGGAAGUUGUCGAAUAUCUCCUGAUCAUACGUUUCUUGCAUAUACUCUCGAUACAUCUGGGGGAAACUGUUUUCGCUGGAACUGAAAGAUCUUCAGUCUAGGUUAUGUUUCUAAAGCUCCAUGCUUAAUCAUCCAGACUGUUUCCAAGUGACUGCUUUACACAUGGGAGACUGGAUGCCUGGAGGAGUUCAGAGAAGCUGGUGUUAUGUUACAUAUGGUCUUCAAGCUAAUGUUAUGUUUCUUGCAUGGUUUGUAUAUUUGUUGCAAAAACAUAGUACAAGAAAAAGAUCUAUGCUCAUGAAGAUGGCAGAAGGGAACUACAUGUGGAACAAGAACCACCAGCGCUGACCAGUUGGGCAUCUAGAUAGUGGUAGUGAACAAAAAUUGCUUGCCCUAUAGAGUCAAUGUAUUCUACUACUAUCCCACUCGCUGAUUUUUAUGUUAUGAAAUUAUAGUUCAACCAUAGUAUGUAUUUACACUCCUGCUGUGAGAUUGUACUAUGUAAAUUAUGGGAGGACAAUAUAGGCCUUUAUAUGCAAAAAACUCCUUGUUGAAA